AGAAGCUGAUUAUUGGUGAUUUUCUGUAUUAAUUGUCAUCGUAGCUCAUUAUUCCAAAUUUUUUGAUCAAAUAUGUCCAAGAAAAAACACUCUGAAGGAUCGCUAAAUUUACGUAAAAUGCGAUUAUUUCUCAUGACGAUGAUUUUUGUUGCACAAAAUAUGUUGAUUGUGAUCGUGGACAAAGUGGUUCAUCUUGGAAAAAAAUUUGAUUUCGUUGAGAAAAUUCUUCUCGUUGUGGACGUCUCGCAACUUGAAAUAGGAUCGUUUCAAAAAUACCUCUAGUUUUAUGAACUUCUACAAUGGUACAUAUUAUGAAGAUUUGUUGAAAAAUCGAUUGACGCCGAUUACUAUUCUGUUGUGAUCAUCAGGAGAUGUUAAUAAGAUGCCUAAUCUGUUCAUCAUUCAAGAUCUAUCUAUGUAUUUGAGAAUGUCGUUGAUUUCGUGUUUUUCGAGCUGUGAGCAGAACA